CAAAUACUCCCUCCGUCCUAAAAUUUUUGUCUUAUAUUUGUUUAGAUACGAAUGUAUCUAGUCAAAUUUUAUUAUUUAGAUACAUUCAUUUCUAGACAAAGCUAAAACAAUAAUUUUGGAAUGAAGGGAGUAUAAA
rfam:Hordeum vulgare subsp. vulgare, WGS project CAJW01000000 data, contig: morex_contig_281282